rnacentral:rRNA from 1 species
GCUUACGGCCAUACCACCCUGAACACGCCCGAUCUCGUCCGAUCUCGGAAGCUAAGCAGGUCGGGCCUGGUUAGCUUGGAUGGGAGACCGCCUGGGAAUACCAGGUGCUGUAAGCU